rnacentral:rRNA from 1 species
GAUGAACGCUGGCGGCGUGCCUAAUACAUGCAAGUCGAGCGAACAGACGAGGAGCUUGCUCCUCUGAUGUUAGCGGCGGACGGGUGAGUAACACGUGGAUAACCUACCUAUAAGACUGGGAUAACUUCGGGAAACCGGAGCUAAUACCGGAUAACAUGUUGAACCGCAUGGUUCAACAGUGAAAGACGGUCUUGCUGUCACUUAUAGAUGGAUCCGCGCCGCAUUAGCUAGUUGGUAAGGUAACGGCUUACCAAGGCAACGAUGCGUAGCCGACCUGAGAGGGUGAUCGGCCACACUGGAACUGAGACACGGUCCAGACUCCUACGGGAGGCAGCAGUAGGGAAUCUUCAGCAAUGGGCGAAAGCCUGACGGAGCAACGCCGCGUGAGUGAAGAAGGUCUUCGGAUCGUAAAACUCUGUUAUUAGGGAAGAACAAAUGUGUAAGUAACUAUGCACGUCUUGACGGUACCUAAUCAGAAAGCCACGGCUAACUACGUG